rnacentral:lncRNA from 1 species
GAUAAAUUCAGUAUUGAUCCCUUCUGCCGCGCGGUAAAUUUUGCAAGAAAAAAAAAAAGAAAGAUUAAAUAGUUCAAUAGAGCCUGCGAGCACCGUGGCUCAAUAUGUUCCGGGACGGCGUAUCGACCCCUCCGUCCGACGGCAGCAACUUCCACUCCCAGCCCUGCCAGACCAGUAAUUAAAAUCCUGGGAGACUGGGAUUUAAAAAGCAAUCAUCUCACUGCGCCGAAGCUUAACGUCCCGCCGUGGCGAGGGCAAUAAGCGUGCGAGCGGCCGAGUGCUUAAGGGUAGUUCCCCCGUAGGGCAGGGGAGCAAAUUAGGUCCCUCUCGGAGUGGUCGUGGGCACGGUGACGUUGUGUUUGGGGUGUUUAACAGCUCCGCACGCGUGGAGGGAGUGAGAGAGGAGGUGGGUCUUCGCUUUCCCUUCCCGUCGUGCUGCUGUGCAGGCAGAGGGUGGGCAGCACCGACCUUCGUCCCCAGUAGGAUCAGCCAGCUUGUUCUGUAAGGGGCUGUGGAGGACAGGAGGCUUUCCCGAGCCCAUGUGCGCCAGCACCGUCCACUGAGGCAGCUAAGAAAGGAGAUCCCGAGCCGUGGAGUCGUAGAAUGAUGAAGGAAGAGACCUCCAAGGUCUGUCUUGGUCAUUGAGAACCUUACAAACCGCUGAUUCUGGUGGCCCGGCGCAGCGCUCACCUGCAUCCGGACUCCUUCAGGCAGCAAAAUGGACCUCAUCGGCCAACAUCUGUUGUACAGCGACCGAAGUGUGGAAACACCGUGGUUGGAAAUGACCUCCAAGAUCCCCAAAUCAACACCAACCCAUCCCCACCAUGUUUUGCUUGUAGAAUCGGAGUCAUUAAGGCUGGCAAUGACCUCCAACAUCCCCAGAUCCAACCACCAACCCAUCCCCACCGUGUUUGCUCAGAGAAUCGGAGCCAUUAAGGUUGGAAAUGACCUCCAAGAUCCCCAAAUCCAACCGCCAACCCAUCCCCACUGUGUUUGCUCAUAGAAUCGGAGUCAUUAAGGCUGGCAAUGACCUCCAAGAUCCCCGUGUCCAACCACCAACCCAUCCCCACCGUGUUUGCUCAUAGAAUCAGAGUCAGUAAUGUUGGAAAUGGCCUCCAAGAUCCCCAAAUCCAACCACCAACCCAUCCCCACCGUGUUUGCUCAGAGAAUCGGAGUCAUUAAG